rnacentral:rRNA from 1 species
CCAGACUCCUACGGGAGGCAGCAGUGGGGAAUAUUGCACAAUGGGGGAAACCCUGAUGCAGCGACGCCGCGUGAGUGAAGAAGUAUUUCGGUAUGUAAAGCUCUAUCAGCAGGGAAGAAAAUGACGGUACCUGAUUAAGAAGCCCCGGCUAACUACGUGCCAGCAGCCGCGGUAAUACGCAGGGGGCAAGCGUUAUCCGGAUUUACUGGGUGUAAAGGGAGCGUAGACGGCAAGACAAGCCUGGAGUGAAAGGCGGGGGCCCAACCCCCGGACUGCUCUGGGAACUGUCUGGCUGGAGUGCAGGAGGGGUAAGUGGAAUUCCUAGUGUAGCGGUGAAAUGCGUAGAUAUUAGGAGGAACACCAGUGGCGAAGGCGGCUUACUGGACUGUAACUGACGUUGAGGCUCGAAAGCGUGGGGAGCAAACAGGAUUAGAUACCCCCGUAA